UACAGAGGGGGGCAAGCGUUAUUCGGAAUUAUUGGGCGUAAAGGGUGCGUAGGCGGCGCGGUAAGUCGGAUGUGAAAUCUCGGGGCUUAACCCUCGAAACUGCAUUCGAUACUGCCGUGCUUGAGGACUGGAGAGGAGACUGGAAUUUACGGUGUAGCGGUGAAAUGCGUAGAUAUCGUAAGGAAGACCAGUGGCGAAGGCGGGUCUCUGGACAGUUCCUGACGCUGAGGCGCGAAAGCUAGGGGAGCAAACGGG
rnacentral:rRNA from 1 species